CUGCAUUUGAUCUAGUUUUUCUUUCUACACACCUAAAGGUGAAACAGCACUAUAAUAUUUGCAGUGUUUGAUAAAUCCCUGCCAGUCACAACUGUAUUUAGUUUGCAUUGGGAGAGGUCUGAAUUACAGAAAAUGUCAGAAUUAUAAAUGUCUGUGCAAAAUACCAAAUGGCUCCAGUAAUUCCAAUUACGUGCCCAAGUCAGGUCAACCUUGGCAUCAUCUCUAGGAAGAGAUGCUCAGUUUUGGCAAACUUUAAAUACGAAACCUGACAGAUCAAAAUAAAUAAAUCAAUAAAUAAACCAGCCAUCUCUUCUGCUAGAUUCUGCAUUUAUUUCUUCAGAGCUGAUAAAUUUAAGGCAAAAAGAAAAAGAAAAAAGAAAAAGGGAAAGCUGAAUGCUCAAUAGCUUCAUGAGACUAAUUAUGAUAAACAGCCCCAUCGCAGUUAAUAUCCGGCCAUUAAUUCCCAGAUGGAGCUGUGGAAAAUGUCAGGAUUGGAAAUGUCAGCUCUUUAAGAGGACCUGGCAGCCACUGAAGUGGGGACUGAAGCCUCAGCCUGAUAGUAGGAAGGGAAGGACAGAGGCACAAUUCAGGACAGAGGCAAUAAAUGGGAGCUGUGCAACUAAGCAGCAUCUUCCCACUGGGGUAUAUGUAUCUAUUCGCUUUAAAACGGCGCAUACGCUCCAUUUCUCCUAAGAACAGAAUCCAUAGUGGCUAGUCACAUAAUAUUAAAACAUAAUAAAAUAACCAAUAACAUUUUUAAUUAAAUGUUUUUUUUUAAAAAAUUCCCACUACCACAAUUUAAAAAGCAGCCCGGAAAACAUUUAAUGUAACAUGAGGAGCCCCCAGUGGCACAAUGGGUCAGUGCAUCUGGCUGUUAACUGGAGGUUUGGUGGUUCGAACCCACCUAGGGACGGAUGUGGUCAGGAUUCCUACAUUGCAGUGAUCCUUUCCAACUCUACAACUCUAUAAUUCGAUGAUUUAAAACACUAAUAAAGGCAGAGUGAGAACACUGCAACAAAUGAAAUUCCCUCCAAAGAGGAAAGUAUGCAAGUAAACAGGACGGGCUUGCCUGAUGCUCAAAAGUUAACAAUGCAGGUGACAUGUAGAUCUCUUUUUGGGAUGGAGUUCUGUUGCCAGAGUACGAUAGAAAUGACUCUCUCCCCUUUUGGCACUUGUCUGAUGUCUGCAGGUAGAGUCACUGGAGGAGAGGCAGUGAUGACCGUCUCAAACGUUGGGUGCUCUCAUGUGGGACAAGGUUCUUCUUGACCGAGUGUCAGGCCUUGGUCAGCCUCCAAGACAAGCUGUAGAUGGAGGCUCUGGUUCUGGUAUCCCCCUCUGAAUGAAGGGAAUCUGUACGGCUCUUCAGUGGGACAUGUCACAAGGAACCAGGUUUGGAGCAACCAUGAUAUAGAGCUAGCUAGGGUUAAGAGCGCUUCGCAUUAAGAAUAGACUUCUGGAACAAAUAAAGUUUGAACCUGAGGUACCACUGUAAUGGGCCUGGAUAGCAAAAUGCUGUUUUCUGAAGGAUUGAAAUGCCUAGGCCUCAAUCAGUCAGUGUCGCUGACUCAGAAAAGCAAUCAGGACUGGCCUAGUGUGAGCUUUUGUUCUGCGGAUAUUUGAAAGGUGGAAAGGGAACCUUUCCUCUCCAUAUCCUCCUGCUGAUUGCAUGGAAAUCAGAUGUCAGAAAGGUGAGUGAGGAUUUGUGUUGAGGUACACUGAUUAUGUUAUGCCUAAGGAAAGCAUCAAAGCAAGACGAACAGUUUUUGAUGGCGUUUGGGCAGAAUACUUCUGAUCUGCCUAGUGUCACUCCCUCACGAAGAGAAGCAGAUUCUGUUUACAGAAACAGCUCUUGCUCUCUGAAAGCACUGUGAGAGACAGAAAAGCAACAGGAGCAAGAAAUGAGAGAAGCUGCACAUGAGCAGUGUUCUCCUUUCCGCAUGAUCCUUAAAGAUACAAGAUCCCCUUUGAAGGUGCAGGAUCCACAUACAUCAAAGGGAGAAUUUCUGCCAGGUGAAGCUUUUAUAACUACAGUGGAACUACCAAGAGGGCCCUCAAGAGGGUCUGUAGGGAAGGAAGUGAGCUUCCGGGUAUUUUCGGCUUGAGUCAUUCAGGGUUUUAAACACUAAUGUGAGCACCUUGAAUGGGUCCCAGAAACAAACUGGCAGCCAGCACAGCUCUGUUUAAAAUGUGUUAUAUGGGAUCUAAAUGGAACCCCAGCCAGUAACCUGAGGCUGCAUUUUGGACUAAUUGAAGUUUCUAAGUCAUCUUGAAGGGCAGCUCCACAUAGCAAUAAUCCAAUCUGGAAGUUACCAGAGCAUGGAGUACAGUGGCCAAGCCAUUCCUAUCCAAAAGGGGCCACAGCUGGCAGACCAGCUGGAAAAGGGCAUUGCUAACCACCAAGGCCACCUGAGCCUCUAGUGACAGUGUUGAAUCCAGCUGGGUGGUGAACAGGAUGAAGAUUUGAGCAUCCCUCCUUCUGCCUGCCACUUCUCUGCUUCAAACUGUGCCCUCCCCACACCACUAUUUGGAUGUUUGGUGAUGAGCUGGGUUCCUAAACCUGGAUUUCCUCAAGACGUAUUCUCAGACAAUCAGAGGGAUUAGGCAUGCUGAGGGAAGAAAUCAGCGCUCGGUAAUUCAGCAGCAAGGCAGGCACAGAAACACACAAGAUGCAGACAGGAAACACACGGAGAAGCAUCAGAUGCAGAGGCAACAGUCGUGGACCUUCAGGGCAUUACAUUUCCCUUUAGUGGAACAGUUCAAGCAAGAGAGCUAGAGUCAAAGAACAUGAAGUUAACAAGAGAUAAUCACUCUUCAUUGCUUGCACCUUGCCCAGUUCCUUGUUAGCACCAUUCCUGACCCAGAGGUUCCUGCCACAAAUCCACCUGAUGCCUGAGCUUCUGCUUGGGGUGGAUUAGCAGGAGUUCUGCUGUUUUGACUUACGAGCUUGGCAAUUCAGGAAGCAGGCAUCUUUGUUUAUUGGUGCGCAGUUGGUGGCACGUAUCACAAUUGUACACAGGCACCUCAGAUGGACACCUCAUCAAACGAAAUGCAUGAUUUGACAAGGGUGGGAGGUGACCUGCUUCUUCCCAGUCUUAGAGUUGAGAGGGACUCAUUUGAUUCAUCCCCCCUCUCAGUGCAGGACUUGCAAUACAGGACUCAGCCACAGCAGGGGUAGGAAACCAGUGGUCCUCCAGAAGUUGUUGGACUACAACUCCCACCGUUUCUAUCCACUGGCCAUGCUGGCUGAGGCUGAUGUGAGUUGGAGUCCAACAAUGCUUUGAGGACCAUAGGUUCCCCACUCCUGAACUACAGCAUCUCUGGCAGCUAAGUAUCCAGCCUGUUUCAAUGCCAUCCACCUGCUGCAGUCAGUUCCUCUGUCAAACAGCUUUUGCCCUUAGGAAAAACUCCCUAACAUGCUGAUCACUCUUGCACCUGGAAAUGGUCUGUGGCAGCCGUUGCAGUUCUCUGACACCCUCUAUUGUGCCUUUAUUUAGGCAUGGCUUAUGGGGGGUAUGGAGGGUGAGAAAAGCUCUAACAAGAUGCCCUCGGACAUCUGUCUAAUGAAAAGAGGCACACUUGUUCUAUGGGAGUGUAGCUCCUCAUAGUGGGGGAGAAAGCAAGUGAUGUGAACAAGCCAAUUCCAUGGUGGUUGCUGGUAAACUAAAUCAAAGCCCUUGGGCAGGCUUUGCUUCAAAUUGUGCAUGGCUCUGUUGUUGUUAUUGUUUAGUCGUUUAGUCGUGUCCGACUCUUCGUGACCCCAUGGACCAGAGCACGCCAGGCACUCCUGUCUUCGUGCAUGGCUCUACCAUAUAUUUAUUUGUUGAUUUACUGAUAGGACAGGCUUCUUUAGUGUUUUUCAGCAUAUCAUUUUGUAAAAAAGAAGUUACUGAGCCCUAACCAUUUUUGUAGCAAAGUUUUCAGCAACAGGAUUUAGGGAGGAUUCAGGAGAAAGAAAGAAAGAAAGAAAGAAAGAAAGAAAGAAAGAAAGAAAGACCACACGUAGCUAGUAAAUAGGAUCAUUUUGGAGGACGAGCUCUAGUGUUAGGCAUGCAAAGGAAGAAUAAUCUCCUGCUGGUUCACCAUUUACUGUUGGUUGGGAAACAGGUAACAACCAAGGAUGGGGCUUAUUCACCGCAUGCAGUCUCUACGAUGUGCCCUCAGCUGAAUCCAUGCUGGUCUCCUGCUUGAUUUUUUUCUGUGCAACAGAAAAGAACCAGAGCAGGAAUAAUUCAGGGCCCGUUGCCUGCGUGAAGAAAGGUGCAUAGAUGGCAGAAAGUUCCCUCCCAUGACUCAUCAUACUUUUUCAGAGAACUCAUUCAAAACUUCCAGUUUGGCUCUAAAGUGACAAGCCAGGAGCUAGAGGACAGUUACCACUGCAGUGUCAUCUUCUGUUCCACAGUGCAGGAGAAGGGAAUGCCAGGCUACUACACAUUAGCCGCUUAAAACACAACAAAGUCGCCUUCCCACACACACUGCAUUCUAAGUCCCAUUUAGAUGCUGCUGUACACACCAGAGGGAGGGCAGGGAUGUAUUUAUCCAAUGCACAGGACCUGUUUGGUUUCUGCAAUGCUCGCAAAAUACUAUUCAUGAGGGUGUCACCUGUACAUGUACAAUGACUGUCUCAAAUGGACACACCUCAAGUUAACUGUGAAACAAAUGUGACCUAAGUUUUCAAUUCAGAUUGAAGCUAGUUUGAGGGGAAAACACACCAAACAGCAGUAUUUCUGAAGAAAUCACAGGACAGCACUGCAUUGUGGAUAAUGGUGGGUGUAAAGGUAAAGGAACCCCUGACCAUUAGGUCCAGUUGCGGACGACUCUGGGUUGCGGCGCUCAUCUCGCUUUACUGGCCGGGGGAUCCAAUGUUUGUCUGGGUCAUGUGGCCAGCAUGACUAAGCCGCUUCUGGCGAAACCAGAGCAGCGCACGGAAAUGCUGUUUACCAUCCCGCUGGAGCGGUACCUAUUUAUCUACUUGCACUUCAUGCUUUCGAACUGCUAGGUUGGCAGGAGCAGGGACCGAGCGGGUGUGCAUGCAUCCAAAAGCCAGUUUCAGGUUGAUGUGGACCAUGACUAUGUAGGCAGAGUGUUGAUAGCUCACAAGUCAAGCACCAGCACAUAAAUCCAUAAGCCCAUGUUUAAAAAUAAGCAGUACCGUAAUUACCAGCAGGAUUGUAAUCUAUGCUAGGGGCUAGGCCUAGGAGACCAGGGUUCAAAUCUCCGCUUGGCCAUAAAACUCAUUGGGUGACCUUGGACUAGACACUUGCCUCUCAACCUGAUCUACCUCACAGGGUUGUUGUGGGGAUUAAGUAAGGAGGACGGAGAACCACCUAUGCCACCUUAAGCUGCUUGGAGAGAAAAGUGGUGAUAUAAAUGCAUAUAAAUAAAUAAGUAAAUAAAUAAAUAAAUAAAUGUUGAAGGGCCUCAGAAAUAGAAAUUCCAGCAUGCUGUUAUCAAAGCCACUGUUACAAGACGGGCAAGGCCAUAAGCAGGCAGACAAACAAAGCAACUGUUAUAAGACAGGGAAGGCCAUAGCAGGCAGACAUACAAAGAAUGAGUAAAUUAAGAAGUGUUAACCUUCAAAAGGAGAAGCAUGGAAUGUUAGAGCCUGAUUGGAUAAGAAUGUAAAGUUUCACUCUCCGUUUUUUUGUAUAGUCUAUAAAAAGUGGGCACACCCUGACUGGGGUGUGCAGAUUGUGAGCUUAUCGCGCUGUGCCUUUGUCCUGCAUAUGCAUUUCAAAUAAAUCUUUUUGAAUCCUGCAAGGUUGAUUGCCACUUUGUGUGAAUCUGUGCUCCGGGGACCCAAUAGCAGAUAUGGAACAGGUCCAACAAUGUGGACCACAACUCCCAUCAGCCCUAGCCAGUAUGGUUGAGGGUCAUAUAUGAUGGGAGUUGUGUUCCAUAACACCUGGUGGGCUCCACGUUGUCUAUGUCUGAUCUAAGGGAUCUGGGAAAUGGAAGGCAAAACGUUGAUGCAAAUCAAGUGGGGAGAAGAAGCAUGGCCUUUUUGCUUCCCUCUCCCAUGUCACAGCCAACUAUACAGGUUACCUAGCCCUGAUGUCAUGAUUUCAGCUAGAGAAAGAUGAUUUUUAAUUAGAAGGAACACAGCGUAACGUCUAUAAAUAGUUUCCUCUUGCUACCCACAAAACACUAGACUAUUUUUAUAAUGCCACAUUUUGAAAUAUGAUUAAGUGAUUUGUCAGAUAUAUUUUAAGGCUGUUGCCAUAACAUGUGAUAUUUACUCCAGAUCGACACAACAUCAUGUGGCUAAGGAGGUGGGCGUAGCGACAGAAAUGGAAGGCCCGCUACUCAACAGCCCAGGCGAUCACACACACCUCUGCAGAGAGAAGCAUUGGUGGGACCUAAAAUGUCAGCCUUCCCGUUUGGUACAGCUUCACUCCUACUACAUCAAUAUAAAUGGAGACACAAGACGAUGACAAUGUUAUCCAGAAUGUCAGCAUGUACAUUUUAAAGCACGUGGUAUUAGAUG